rnacentral:lncRNA from 1 species
GCCUGGCAUAUGGCAAGCUUGCAAUCUCUAUAGUUAUGAGUUAUUACUAUUAUUACCAUUAUUAUAUUUCUAGGAUAUAGGAGAAUUAAGUGAAAUAAUGUGUGUGAAGUGCUUAGAAUACUGGCUAGCAAAAUCUCUUUCAUGAUCCAGUGGAAGAUCCCAUGAUACUCAAUCCUCCUCGGACCCAGGUCUGUGAUCCAGUCUUAUCCGCAAUGUCAGACAGGUACAGAUGUGCAUCUGAAGCUGGAACUGAUAACAGGGACACCUGAAGAGACUAGGUCAUGUGGCCGUUGGGUGUGAAGGCUGAGGGUGAUAAAUGGUGGGAUUUUAACACAGCAGUAUCAUUGCAUAGAGCUGACUGUGAUUACAGCGGUCAUCUCCUUAGCGGUUUGAGCAGGAAGACGUGAUUAUUGGUGUGGUACGAGAUGCAAUAUUUAGAAAGAAUCUAGUGAUAGUGAUAAUGAAGGCUGUUAGAUUAAUUUGCCAAGAAAGUAAGGAAUUCCUAGGAAAUGGAAUUAUUUUGCCUCAAACAACAGAGGCUAGGAGACGCUGAGGAGUAUUUUGUGAUGAUGCUGAGUAGUUUAGAGAUUUUAUCCUCAGCAAGUUUCCCAUCAGCUAUUCAUUUAGAAUGAACACUAUUGGCUGGCUUAUACACUGCUUUUGAACCACGUGUUAAAUUACAUGAAUGGACACCUUUCUCUGUGUGUGAGUAGUUGUUAAGAGCUUGGUUUUUGAAGCCAAAAUGACCAACGAGAUUCAGAUCUUGGCUCUGCCAUUUAUUAACAGCGACUUUGGGCAAGUGACUUCACCUGUCUGUGCCUCAUCUGUAAAUCAGGAACAAUAAUAACACCAAUUCAUAGCCAGCCUGGCUUGCCACAGUCCACCUACUGGUAUUCACACCCACGUGUUGUUCCCUGCUAUGUAGUACCAG